UACGAAGGGUGCAAGCGUUACUCGGAAUUACUGGGCGUAAAGCGUGCGUAGGUGGUUUGUUAAGUCUGAUGUGAAAGCCCUGGGCUCAACCUGGGAAUUGCAUUGGAUACCGGCAGGCUAGAGUGCGGUAGAGGGUAGUGGAAUUCCCGGUGUAGCAGUGAAAUGCGUAGAGAUCGGGAGGAACACCAGUGGCGAAGGCGACUACCUGGACCAGCACUGACACUGAGGCACGAAAGCGUGGGGAGCAAACAGG
rnacentral:rRNA from 1 species